CGUGCCAGCAGCCGCGGUAAUACGUAGGUGGCAAGCGUUGUCCGGAAUUAUUGGGCGUAAAGCGCGCGCAGGCGGGCUGAUAAGUCUGUCGUUUAAAUUCGGGGCUCAACCCCGUCAAGCGAUGGAAACUGUCAGUCUUGAGUGCAGGAGAGGAAAGGGGAAUUCCCAGUGUAGCGGUGAAAUGCGUAGAUAUUGGGAGGAACACCAGUGGCGAAGGCGCCUUUCUGGACUGUGUCUGACGCUGAGGCGCGAAAGCCAGGGUAGCGAACGGGAUUAGAUACCCCGGUAGUCCUGGCCGUAAACGAUGGGUACUAGGUGUAGGGGGUAUCGACCCCUCCUGUGCCGGAGUUAACGCAAUAAGUACCCGCCUGGGGAGUACGG
rnacentral:rRNA from 1 species